CAUUUUCAGUUAUUGCUUCGAACAUUCGUACUAACGGAAUUGAGUUAAAAAAUGCAAACCCAUUUCGCUGUUGCAACAAUUGGUCUCUUCUGUCUCAUUAGCAGCACUACGAGUCAAGUUUGUUAUUCCGCAAGAGUAUGUAUUCACAAUAACGUUGAGAAAUGUGGUGUUACUGAUAAGAGGGAAGUACGGAGAUUUAUUGAUUCAUGUGACCUUAAGGAAUAUAAUUGCUUGCACAAAACCGCAUAUCGAGUAACGGAUAAUGAAAAAUGUGAUUCAUUGCCUCCACUUAGCUCCGAAGAAUCGUCACUAGAACGGAACGAAAGAGAAACCAGCCCUUUACCAAUCAAUGACCAGAAUAGUACAAAUGCGAAAAAAGAAGAAAGUAUUAUAAAUUAGUUUUUUAUUAAACUCGAUGAAAUGUU